GCUACUUCUAGCCCAAUCACCACUUCACACAACUAAGUAUUCCCUUCAAACAAAACAUUUACCAUUAUUAAAGUAUAGGCGAUAGAAAUAUGUUUCAGGAGCUAUAGAGAUAGUACCGCAAGGGAAAGAUGAAAGAUUAGUCAAUAGCAUCGAAAAAGCAAAGAUUAAUCCUUGUACCUUUUGCAUAAUGAACUAGCCAGAAACUACUUGGCAAAAAGAAUUUUAGUCAGAGACCCCGAAACUAGACGAGCUAUCUACGAGCAGUUUUUAGAACGAACCCGUCUAUGUGGCAAAAUAGUGGGACGACUUGCAGAUAGAGGUGAAAAGCCAAACGAGCCUAGUGAUAGCUGGUUGUCCAAAUAAGAAUCUUAGUUCAACUUUAUGUUUACCCUCAGAAACCUCAAUCCACAUGUAAACAUAAAACUUAGUCUAAGGGGGGACAGCCCCUUAGAGCCAGGAUACAACCUGAGUUGGAGAGUAAAUAAACUCACUACCAUUGUUGGCCUAAAAGCAGCCACCAAUUAAGAAAGCGUUAAAGCUCGACAUCCACCCGCAAACCCAAUUCCACGCUAUAUCAUAAACUCCCAACAUAUAAUACUGGACUAAUCUAUAUACCUAUAGAAGCAAUACUGCUAGUAUGAGUAACAAGAACCCCUUUCUCCUUGCACAAGCCUAUAUCAGAUCGCAUGCACGCUGAUAGUUACCACCCCUACGUAAACACGCCACACCUUAAACCUACGUAACUUUUUAUUGUUGACCCGACACAGGAGUGCAUUUAAGGAAAGAUUAAAAGGAGUGGAAGGAACUCGGCAAACCCUAGCCCCGCCUGUUUACCAAAAACAUCACCUCUAGCAUCACAAGUAUUAGAGGCACUGCCUGCCCAGUGACGCAAGUUCAACGGCCGCGGUAUCCUGACCGUGCAAAGGUAGCAUAAUCAUUUGUUCCUUAAUUAGGGACUUGUAUGAAUGGCAACACGAGGGCUUAACUGUCUCCCACCCCAAAUCAGUGAAAUUGACCUCUCCGUGAAGAGGCGGAGAUAACGCAAUAAGACGAGAAGACCCUAUGGAGCUUUAAUUUACUGGUUUACACAAAAUAAAUAUUACUCUACAGGAGCCCAACAAACUAUGUUCCUAAGCCAGAAAUUUUGGUUGGGGUGACCUCGGAGCAUAAAACAACCUCCGAAUGUAUACAGCCAUGACCAACAUGUCUAAGCAACUAAACUACUAAAUGACCCAAUUUAUUGAUCAAUGGAACAAGUUACCCUAGGGAUAACAGCGCAAUCCUAUUCUAGAGUCCAUAUCGACAAUAGGGUUUACGACCUCGAUGUUGGAUCAGGACAUCCAAAUGGUGCAACCGCUAUUAAUGGUUCGUUUGUUCAACGAUUAAAGUCCUACGUGAUCUGAGUUCAGACCGGAGUAAUCCAGGUCGGUUUCUAUCUAUUUUCUUACUUCUCCCAGUACGAAAGGACAAGAGAAGUAGAGCCUACUGUACUACAGCGCUCUAAGUCCAAUAGAUGAAAUAAUCUCAAUCUAAUAAUCUACCCCCACCCUGCCCAAGACCAGGGUUU
rnacentral:rRNA from 1 species